rnacentral:rRNA from 1 species
AGAGCUCAAUUUAAAAUCUGGCUUGCUUGCAAGUCCGAGUUGUAGUCUGAAGAAACGUUUUCCAUGAAAGCUGAGGCACAAGUCCUUUGGAACAGGGCAUCAUAGAGGGUGAGAAUCCCGUCCAUGGUCUCAUGCAUUUCAUUUUGUGAUACGUUUUCUAAGAGUCAGGUUGUUUGGGAAUGCAGCCUAAAAUGGGUGGUAAAUUUCAUCUAAAGCUAAAUAUUGGCGAGAGACCGAUAGCGAACAAGUACCGUGAGGGAAAGAUGAAAAGAACUUUGAAAAGAGAGUUAAAAAGUACGUGAAAUUGUUGAAAGGGAACCGUUUGAAGCCAGUCUUGCUUACUUGUGAUCAAUCUUAGCUUCGGCUUGGAUGCACUCUCGAGUUAUGCAGGUCAACGUCAGUUUGAGAGGUGGGAAAAAAGUUUGAGGAAUGUGGCCUUCGGGUGUUAUAGCCUCUUACUAAAUACCAUCUCCUGGACUGAGGCUCGCAGCAAAAAUGUGGGUUGGUUUGCUCCUGAGGUGAAUCAUUAUUAAGACAG